rnacentral:lncRNA from 1 species
CCCUGAAUCUGGAAAUCAUUUCCCCUGAAUAUGAAUGUGGAGGCGAAAAGGAAAGGAGGGGUGAGGAAUACUGUGCUCUCAUAGAACUCUGUUUACAUUCCUGUCCCUCUGGAAACACUUCUAUUAUAGGGUGUGUCUCUCUCUAUUGCAAUUAUCCAUUCAAAUCUGUUUACCUGUCUAUUGCUUCCAGUAACCAUGAGCAGUGCUUGAGUAUCAAUCUGGAACAUGUCUUGGGCCCUUGGCAAAAGAGAAGCAACAAUAAUGACAAAAAGAAGAAAGAAUAGAAAUAUUUUGAUAAUUGAUAUUUAUUUUCACAAAAUCAUUGAAGUAGUCACCAGAAGAAAAAAGUAGUGCUUUGCUGGACUUCCUUUCACUUAUUUUACAGUGUAGUAUUGUUUGGAUUUGAAUUGUAUUGUGGGUGGAGAGAGACCACCAAGGGAUUUAUCUGUCACUCUCUACAAAUUUCCAGAAGUUUCUCUUUGCACAUGAGAUUCAGUAGACCGAUCCUUAAGGAGCGUGAACUUAUUUUUUACGGGAUGUCAAAGAGGAACAAAGAGGACCUUCCAAGAUAUCUUCUGCUGAAUAUGUCAUUCAAGAUUCUUCCUAGCCAGACCUUUGCUAAUUGGAGAUAAACGUCUCUAGGUCUCUGAGACUAAGCCAGACUACGAGCCGGGGCAAGUUCUUAAAAACCACGUUUCCUUCCUUAGGUAUGUUUUAUGACUGUAGUUUUUUUUUUUUUUUUGACUGCUGUUUUGUUUAAAUCCCCUUUUUAGUGAAUCCAACUGGAAAUGACCUAGUAUUUCAUUUUAUUUUUGUAUUUGUCUUUGAUUUCAUGAGGUCAAAUUCACUUUCUACUUGUGAUCACGGAUUUUGAUUUGCGACGUUUUCUC